rnacentral:rRNA from 1 species
GAUGAACGCUGGCAGCGUGCCUAAUACAUGCAAGUCGAGCGAACAGAUGAGGAGCUUGCUCCUCUGACGUUAGCGGCGGACGGGUGAGUAACACGUGGAUAACCUACCUAUAAGACUGGGAUAACUUCGGGAAACCGGAGCUAAUACCGGAUAAUAUAUUGAACCGCAUGGUUCAAUAGUGAAAGACGGUUUUGCUGUCACUUAUAGAUGGAUCCGCGCCGCAUUAGCUAGUUGGUAAGGUAACGGCUUACCAAGGCGACGAUGCGUAGCCGACCUGAGAGGGUGAUCGGCCACACUGGAACUGAGACACGGUCCAGACUCCUACGGGAGGCAGCAGUAGGGAAUCUUCCGCAAUGGGCGAAAGCCUGACGGAGCAACGCCGCGUGAGUGAUGAAGGUCUUCGGAUCGUAAAACUCUGUUAUUAGGGAAGAACAAAUGUGUAAGUAACUAUGCGCGUCUUGACGGUACCUAAUCAGAAAGCCACGGCUAACUACGUG